GGCGCAGGCGGAACAGUUAGCGUCUUGUGAAAUCCCUCGGCUUAACCGGGGAAUCGCUGGGCGAACUGCUGUUCUUGAGGCAAGCAGGGGCACAUGGAACUCUUGGUGGAGCGGUAGAAUGCGUAGAUAUCAAGAAGAACGCCAGUGGAGAAGUCGGUGUGCUGGGCUUGUUCUGACGCUGAGGCCCGAAAGCGUGGGUAGCAAACA
rnacentral:rRNA from 1 species